UACGAACUGUGCGAACGUUAUUCGGAAUCACUGGGCUUACAGGGUGCGUAGGCGGCUUGUUAAGUAGGGUGUGAAAGCCCCCGGCUCAACCGGGGAAUGGCGCCCUAAACUGGCGAGCUAGAGUGAGAUAAGGGUGUGUGGACUUCCGGUGGAGCGGUGAAAUGUGUUGAUAUCGGAAGGAACGCCGGUGGCGAAAGCGACACACUGGAUCUUGUCUGACGCUGAGGCACGAAAGCCAGGGGAGCGAACGGG
rnacentral:rRNA from 1 species